rnacentral:miRNA from 1 species
ACCAAGAAUCAGACAUAUGCUCA